CGGAUAUUUCGUCUCCUGGCCUGGCUUAUUUCGUUUCGGUGCUGCUGAGACCUCCUUUCGCGGAAUAUUACUCAAUGACAGUGUGCGAAGAACGCGAGUUCCCCUUCUCGACGAAAAUCGUGGACUAACAGUUUGAAGUCAUUGAACUACUUCCAAGAGUUGUAUCGACAUCAACAGGAUUACGAUUUCAGUGCAAUAUGA